CAGUCGCCGCGGGAAUACGUAGGUCCCGAGCGUUGUCCGGAUUUAUUGGGCGUAAAGGGAGCGCAGGCGGUUUAGUAAGUCUGAAGUUAAAGGCAUUGGCUCAACCAAUGUAUGCUUUGGAAACUGUUAGACUUGAGUGCAGAAGGGGAGAGUGGAAUUCCAUGUGUAGCGGUGAAAUGCGUAGAUAUAUGGAGGAACACCGGUGGCGAAAGCGGCUCUCUGGUCUGUCACUGACGCUGAGGCUCGAAAGCGUGGGUAGCGAACAGGAUUAGAUACCCGUGUAGUCCCUGUCUCUUAUACA
rnacentral:rRNA from 1 species